rnacentral:tRNA from 1 species
GUGUAUAUAGCUCAGUGGUAGAGCGCGUGCUUAGUGGGCACGAGGCCCUGGGUUCAAUCCCUAGUACCUCCA